rnacentral:tRNA from 1 species
CUUAGCCAAGUCUGGUAAGGCAAUUGACUGCAACUCAAUGAUCGAGGGUUCGAAUCCCCCA